GGGCUCACACAAGCGGUGGAGGAUGUGGCUUAAUUCGAGGCUACGCGAAGAACCUUAUCCUAGUCUUGACAUGUAUGGAUUAACCCUGUGAAAGCAGGGCCACGCCUUCGGGUGGAACAUACACAGGUGCUGCAUGGCUGUCGUCAGCUCGUGUCGUGAGAUGUCGCGUUAAGUCGCUUAACGAGCGAAACCCUUGUCUCUAGUUGCCAGCGCGUAAUGGCGGGGACUCUAGAGAGACCGCCGGCGUUAAGCCGGAGGAAGGUGGGGAUGACGUCAAGUCCUCAUGGCCCUUAUGACUAGGGCUGCACACGUCCUACAAUGGAACGCACAAAGGGAUGCGAAACCGCGAGGUCAAGCAAAUCCCAAAAAUCGUUCCCUAGUUCGGAUUGCAGGCUGCAACUCGCCUGCAUG
rnacentral:rRNA from 1 species